AUGGGAGAGGCUGCCGAGAGCAGGGCUGGCAACCUGUUGGGUCCCUGGCAGGUACAAAGAGAAGGAGGGAGGGGGCCGGAGGGGUGCUGGGUGUUGGGGGGAGGAGUAAGUACUUCCCAGCGGGGCUCAUAGCGCUGCCAGAUUCAGUGGAUAGAAAUGCAGGAUGAGGAGUUCCCUUGUGGCUCAGUGGGUUAAGAACCCGACUAGCAUGUGUGAGGAUCUAUGAGGAUGCGGGUUCAAUCCCUGGCCUUGCUCAGUGGGUUAAGGAUGCAGUGUUGCUGCAAGAUGACGUGGCUUGGAUCUGGCGGUGCUGUGGCUCUGACGUAGGCAGCUGCAGUUCCAAUUCAACCCCUAGCUCCGGAAACAUCCAUAGGCCACAGGUGCAGCCGUAAAAAGAAAGAAAAAAGACAUGCAGGAUGCCCAGCUCAAUCUCAGCCUAGCCCCCAGCGUGGCCCAGAAGGACCUCCAACAGAUUAAGGUUUAAACAGAAGAGGACUGGACAAUCUCAACAGAUACAGAAAAGCCCUCCGCUGGCCUCCCCCCCAGGAGGCCCCCACCAACAGGGUCCCACUGAAUAAUUACCCUCGGGAUGUGAUGGGCUGACACUGCCUCCUGACGUCGACGGCUGAGAAAGAUGCUCUUUUUCUAUCCCUCAAACGGUCAACUUUUUCGUUUGUUUUUGUUUGUUUUUGCUUUUUUUAAGGCCGCACCCCAGACACAUAGAGGUCCCCAGGCUAAGGGUUGCAUUGGAGCUACAGCUGCCUGCCUACACCACAGCCUCAGCAACGCCAGAUCCAAGUCGCGUCUGAGACCUACACCACAGCUCACAGCAAUGCCGGAUCCUUAACUCACUGAGCAAGGCCAGGGAUCGAACCUGUGGAUGCUAGUCAAAUGGGUUAACCGCUGAGCCAUGCCGGGAAUUCCUGGUCGGUCAAAUUUCCUCACUGCUCUUUCUUUUUCAAAGUCCUGUGUCUGCUUGGGGUGACCUCACGGUAAUUUUCCUAUGGAAGGAGGCUUCUGAGAGGAUAAGGACUCUGACACCUGUUUAGAGAGAGGGGUUCCUGAUUCUGGGGUCCGAGGAGGGCUUCCGAGGGUCUGGGGACCACCUGCAAUUGUCCAGCAAACAACACAUCCACGCACACGGAUAGGCAUCUAUUGUCCCCCAAGAAAGGGAGUCGCUAGUUUUCAGCAGAAGUUCAAGGGGAAACUGUAUCCCAGAGAAGAGUAGCAAAUGUUCACGGAGAAGCAGUGGAUACCCGAGGUCCCUGGCCUGGAGCUCAUGACCCCUUAGGGUCUAUGGAGACAAUUCAGGAAGCCCAGGAGCUGAGACCAGGUCAAUUUCAAUCUUUAGUUCAUAGCUAUUUCUCCACUCUAUUAAAACCGUUGCAGGUAUCUCGAAAUAUUCCUAGCACUCUUCAUUCCUCAGAAAUUACGGUGUCUCUAUCACAUCUUUCUGGACUCCACGUUGGUACUCCCCUCCUGUAAGGGAUAAAAACCCCUAUAGGACAAUGUGGGGUGGGGAGGGCUCUUCUUCCGCCUCCCAGCUGUCCUGGGAGCUGUUGCUUUCCUGUCAUAAAGACUUCGCUUGCUUAAAAAAAAAAAAUCCAGAAAUCGUGGUGGUUUUAAACCAGCAACUAUGCUGUCUUUAAUGCAUUAAUAAAGAAGCUCAUAUACCC
rnacentral:lncRNA from 1 species